UGGGGAAUCUUGCACAAUGGGCGCAAGCCUGAUGCAGCCAUGCCGCGUGUAUGAAGAAGGCCUUCGGGUUGUAAAGUACUGUCAGUCGGGAGGAAGGUGGUAAGGUUAAUAACCUUAUCAAUUGACGUUACCGACAGAAGAAGCACCGUCUAACUCCGUGCCAGCAGCCGCGGUAAUACGGAGGGUGCAAGCGUUAAUCGGAAUUACUGGGCGUAAAGCGCACGCAGGCGGUUGAUUGAGUCAGAUGUGAAAUCCCCGGGCUUAACCCGGGAAUUGCAUCUGAUACUGGUCAGCUAGAGUCUUGUAGAGGGGGGUAGAAUUCCAUGUGUAGCGGUGAAAUGAGUAGAGAUGUGGGGGAAUACCGGUGGCGAAGGCGGCCCCCUGGACAAAGACUGACGCUCAGGUGCGAAAGCGUGGGGAGCAAACAGG
rnacentral:rRNA from 1 species